rnacentral:rRNA from 1 species
UACGUAGGGGGCUAGCGUUAUCCGGAAUCACUGGGCGUAAAGCGUGCGUAGGUGGCGUGUUAAGUGUGAUGUUAAAUCGCGGGGCUCAACCCUGUCGGUGCAUCGCAUACUGGCAUGCUAGAGGGAAGCAGAGGCAAGUGGAAUUUGUAGUGUAGCAGUGAAAUGCGUAGAUAUUACAAGGAACACCAAUGGCGAAGGCAGCUUGCUGGGCUUCUUCUGACACUGAGGUACGAAAGCGUGGGGAGCGAACAGG